rnacentral:SRP_RNA from 1 species
UUUUCGGUUUCUCGCAACAUUGUCUAGUUUACUCGGUCAGGUUCGGAAGAAAGCAGCCAAAGUUAGAAUUUAUGUGUGCCGAGAAGGUGCUGGGAAUGU